rnacentral:tRNA from 3 species
GCCGAAGUGGUGGAACUGGUAGACGCGCUGCGUUCAGGGCGCAGUGGGCGCAAGCCCGUGGGGGUUCGAGUCCCCCCUUCGGCA